rnacentral:rRNA from 1 species
GAUGAACGCUGGCGGCGUGCCUAAUACAUGCAAGUAGAACGCUGAAGGAGGAGCUUGCUCUUCUGGAUGAGUUGCGAACGGGUGAGUAACGCGUAGGUAACCUGCCUGGUAGCGGGGGAUAACUAUUGGAAACGAUAGCUAAUACCGCAUGACAACAGUUAUUGCAUGAUAACUGUUUAAAAGGGGCAACUGCUCCACUACCAGAUGGACCUGCGUUGUAUUAGCUAGUUGGUGAGGUAACGGCUCACCAAGGCGACGAUACAUAGCCGACCUGAGAGGGUGCACGGCCAAACUGGGACGGAGAAACGGCCCAGACUCCUACGGGAGGCAGCAGUAGGGAAUCUUCGGCAAUGGCCGGAAGUCUGACCGAGCAACGCCGCGUGAGUGAAGAAGGUUUUCGGAUCGUAAAGCUCUGUUGUAAGAGAAGAACGAGUGUGAGAGUGGAAAGUUCACACUGUGACGGUAUCUUACCAGAAAGGGACGGCUAACUACGUG